UGAGGGAUAUUGGGCAAUGGGGGAAACCCUGACCCAGCGACGCCGCGUGAGGGAAGACGGUCUUCGGAUUGUAAACCUCUGUCUUUGGGGACGAAAAAGGACGGUACCCAAGGAGGAAGCUCCGGCUAGCUACGUGCCAGCAGCCGCGGUAAUACGUAGGGAGCGAGCGUUGUCCGAAAUUACUGGGUGUAAAGGGAGCGUAGGCGGGAAGGCAAGUUGGAUGUGAAAAACUGUGGGCUCAACCGACAGACUGCAUUCAAAACUGUUUUUCUUGAGUGAAGUAGAGGCAAGCGGAAUUCCUAGUGUAGCGGUGAAAUGCGUAGAUAUUAGGAGGAACACCAGUGGCGAAGGCGGCUUGCUGGGCUUUUACUGACGCUGAGGCUCGAAAGUGUGGGGAGCAAACAGGAUUAGAUACC
rnacentral:rRNA from 1 species